rnacentral:tRNA from 1 species
GUUACCUUAGUUUAAAUAGAACUUCCGCUUUGCAUGUGGAAAGUGGGCUUUGGCCCAGAUAACA